CACCACUUUCACAGUUUUCCAAAAAAAAAAAAGACAAACCAACGACCGCGCUGUGAGCUCUCGCGGGGAUAGGGUUCGAGCCGCCGCCCCUCGGCCUGGCCGCCGGCGGCGCGCUGCUCCUCCGGCCACCCCUCUUCUCCCUCGCCGUUCUUCGCCCCUCUUCUCCCUCACCGUACGCCGCUCCUGAGUAGCAUGCAGCUCGCCGGACCAUGCGCCGCCCCCUGAGCAGCGCCUAGCUCGCCGGACCGAUUCGUGCCAGCCCCGCCCACCUGAGCUCCGCCUCUGCAAGUGUCGACUCCCCCUCCAACGCCCUCUGCCCCUCAUGGCAUCUCUCUCCACUCUUCUCCUCCAUCCAAGAUUUGGUGGUCCGACUCAUGUCCUAGUGAGUUUGCGUUUGCACAGUGCAUCAGUGUAAAUGCUAGUAUAUACAAGGAAGGAUGCGAUGGUCAGAUCGUCGCCAGCCCCUAUCCUGACCCCAAGGUCACAGGCAGCAUCGAUCCGGACGCCCAGGUCGCCGCCACCCCCAACCUUGACGCCCCUGCCCUGGGCAACAGGGCUCUUAAAAUGCAUUCCAGAGGAUUCAACAUCUUGGAGAUAUUCGAAACGGGAAGAGAAAAAAUGGCUCAUGUCCACCAUAUUUAGAGCAUGUAGCCUUCUGAUGUGUUCACAAAUUUUCUGUCAUGUGGUGUUUAUUAAUGAAGUGAUGUUCACUUCUGAAGCAAAAAUGGUGUUGCAGUCUGGUUGCAUGUAGCCUGAACCGAAGCUAUAUUAUUUUCAGGUGAUUUCUAACUUGCAACUACAAUUCACAUAUGCAUGUUGUAUACAGCCACGGUUCAUAUAUGCAUGUUGGGUACACCCUCUGUUUAUAUUUGGACA